CCUACGGGCGGCUGCAGUGGGGAAUAUUGCACAAUGGGCGAAAGCCUGAUGCAGCGACGCCGCGUGAGUGAAGAAGUACUUCGGUACGUAAAACUCUAUUAGUAGGGAAGAAAAUGACGGUACGUGACUAAGAAGCUCGUGCUAAUUACGGGCCAGCAGCCGCGGUAAUACGUCGGGCGCACGCGGUAUCCGGAUUUACUGGGUGUAAAGGGAGCGUAGAUGGUUGCGCAAGUCUGGAGUGAAAGCCCAUGGCUUAACCAUGGAACUGCAUUGGAAACUGGGCAGCUGGAGUGCAGGAGAGGUAAGCGGAAUGCCUGGUGGAGCGGUGAAAUGCGUAGAGAUUAGGAGGAACACCAGUGGCGAAGGCGGCUUACUGGACUGUAACUGACGUUGAGGCUCGAAAGCGUGGGGAGCAAACAGGAUUAGAUACCCCAGUAGUC
rnacentral:rRNA from 1 species